rnacentral:rRNA from 1 species
AGUGAACGCUGGCGGUAGGCCUAACACAUGCAAGUCGAACGGCAGCACAGUAAGAGCUUGCUCUUACGGGUGGCGAGUGGCGGACGGGUGAGGAAUACAUCGGAAUCUACUUUUUCGUGGGGGAUAACGUAGGGCAACUUACGCUAAUACCGCAUACGACCUACGGGUAAAAGCAGGGGAUCUUCGGACCUUGCCCGCUUGAAUAAGCCGAUGUCGGAUUCACUAGUUGGCGGGGUAAAGGCCCACCAAGCCGACGAUCCGUAGCUGGUCUGAGAGGAUGACCAGCCACACUGGAACUGAGACACGGUCCAGCCUCUUACGGGAGCCAGCAGUGGGGAAUAUUGGACAAUGGGCGCAAUCCUGAUCCAGACCUACCGCGUGGUUGAAGAAGGCCUUCGGGUUUUAAAGCCCGUUUGUUGGGAAAGAAAAGCAGCAGGUUAAUACCCCGAUGUUCUGACGGUACCCAAAGAAUAAGCACCGGCUAACUUCGUG